rnacentral:tRNA from 1 species
GAGGGUAUAGCUCAGUGGUAGAGUGCAUGCUUAAUGUGCACAAGGUCCUAAGUUCAAUCCUCAGUAACUCCA